rnacentral:rRNA from 1 species
AACGAACGCUGGCGGCAUGCCUAACACAUGCAAGUCGAACGAGACCUUCGGGUCUAGUGGCGCACGGGUGCGUAACGCGUGGGAACCUGCCCUUAGGUUCGGAAUAACUCCCCGAAAGGGGUGCUAAUACCGGAUAAUGUCUUCGGACCAAAGAUUUAUCGCCUUUGGAUGGGCCCGCGUUGGAUUAGCUAGUUGGUAGGGUAAAAGCCUACCAAGGCGACGAUCCAUAGCUGGUCUGAGAGGAUGAUCAGCCACACUGGGACUGAGACACGGCCCAGACUCCUACGGGAGGCAGCAGUGAGGAAUAUUGGACAAUGGGCGAAAGCCUGAUCCAGCAAUGCCGCGUGAGUGAUGAAGGCCGUAGGGUUGUAAAGCUCUUUUACCCGGGAUGAUAAUGACAGUACCGGGAGAAUAAGCUCCGGCUAACUCCGUGC